GGUGUGAUCUGGAUCCUGAUCCUUGGUUGAAAUAUUCAGUGAAUGAAGGUCUGAGGGUCUUCCACUGUUUGGACAGGAAGGUAUUGGUAUGUAAGCCCGGAGCUCAGGGUAGUUAGUGUAAUUCAUGGUUCUGUGGUGAGUGGGACUCUGAAAUUUGGGGGAGGAAAGGGAAUACGAUGCAAAUGCCCACCACGCCCCUCUCACUCCUGUGGAAGACUGAUGAUAUAAGGUGUUUCAGGGUAGUCUGGAGACUCUGAGGGCAAAGGGGUAACAUCCCAGGUCAGGAAGAAUAGAGUGGCCAUAUCUUCCCUACGUUUUCAGAUCUUUAGAUAAACUAAAGCACAGCCCAGGUCCCUCCUGUGAGUGGAGAUGGGAGCACUAGGUGAAACUCUAGAACUGGAAGGGAGAAUUUGCUCUCUGCCAGAGAAGAUGAGCUGCCCAUCUCAGCAGCUGUCCAGCAGAAGCCAGACAUCUCUUUGGGAAGGGAAGAAGGAGCUUGGCUGAAAUGGCCUUUAAGUUUCUUAUGCCUUAGCUGGGUGAGAUGUUAUGGAGCUAGGACCAUGUCUGAACUGCUUCCUCCCUUUCUGCAGAGCACAAAGCCAAGCAGCUUGUAAUUGGUUGGUGCAGGUUGAAGCCCCCGCUCUCCCACUGUCUCCCCAUGACGCAGGCCAAGAUGCUGCCUCUAGUCAUACCUCUAGGGCUCACCCAAGCUGGUCAUCACCAUAUAGCCCAGAGAGAGUAGCUUCUUUGCCAUAGAGCCCAUGCCCCCCCAAGACCUCUGAUGAGACCGGUCAUAAUUUAGACCUACUGGCCAGGAGGGCCCUUGGUGACAGCCAGGAAUCAGGAAUCAGUAAAGGCCAAGCAGGACCCAGAACACGGGUUUUGCUUGCCAUACACAUUAAUUCCAGAGGUGAAUUCUAACUCCUCCUCCUCCCCAAUCGAGGCCUGUUAGAGCAGAUUGAAAACACAAAAGCACAGCGACUCAGUGGACACGUGAUUAUAAGCGCCCCCCAGUGCAUCCAUUUCAUUGCCAGGUAGAUCCUGAAAUAGCCCAGGCUAAUCCAGUCUAACCCAUUAUUGGCAAUCAAACUUGAAAGCACUUUUCUUCCUUUUCAUUCCACCCUACAUCUUACCAGCUAAUGAAAGGCAGAGUCAGGGCUUCUACCAUUGCCUUGGCUACUGAACACCAUCACAGCCCUAGAAGGGCCAUCGCGGGGGUCCCAUCAACUGCAAGGAGACUGACAUGUUCACAUCCAUGGGGCAUAUGAUACUGCAUGAAUGCCAAGUCUCCACACUGUUUGCAGCCUCCUCUGUGAAUCCCAAUGGCCUGCACUUGUACAGUUUGGGUGUUUGAUAGAUAAAGCACGUAUGAGAAGAGAAAACAAAAUAAAUCAACUUUUUAAAAAAGCCAGCACUGUGCUGUCAAUGUUCAUUUUUUUUUUCCUUUCCAAUUCUAGUUUAAAAAAAGCCGGAGGUAAAUAAUGUCAGGUCAAUGAAUAUCAGAUAUAUUUUUUGACUGUACAUUACAGUGAAGUGUAAUCUUUUUACACCUGCAAGUCCAUCUUAUUUAUUCUUGUAAAUGUUCCCUGACAAUGUUUGUAAUAUGGCUGUGUUGAAAACCUAUACAAUAAAGCUGUGACCCUGAGAUUCAUGUUUUCC
ensembl:lncRNA